CCUACGGGAGGCAGCAGUGGGGAAUAUUGCUCAAUGGGCGAAAGCCUGACGCAGCGACGCCGCGUGAGGGAUGAAGGUCCUCGGAUCGUAAACCUCUGUCAGCAGGGAAGUACGGUCACUGUGCUAAUCAGCAGUGAAUUGACGGUACCUGCAAAGGAAGCACCGGCUAACUCCGUGCCAGCAGCCGCGGUAAUACGGAGGGUGCGAGCGUUAAUCGGAAUUACUGGGCGUAAAGGGGUCGUAGGCGGUAUGUCAAGUCAAGGGUGAAAGCCCCGGGACGAACGUGUGAACUGACUUUGAAACUGGCAAACGUGAGUGUGUGAGAGGAUAGUGGAAUUCCAGGUGUAGGAGUGAAAUCCGUAGAUAUCUGGAGGAACAUCGGUGGCGAAGGCGACUAACUGGCACAUAACUGACGCUGAGGAGCGAAAGCGUGGGUAGCAAACAGGAUUAGAUACCCUUGUAGUC
rnacentral:rRNA from 1 species